rnacentral:lncRNA from 1 species
AUUUCCAUGUAGGGUUUAGUGAUUAGUGGCUAGGGUUUAGUUUAUGGAAGAUUGGAGUUGACAUUGGAUUAUGGUUUAUAUUGUCAUGUGGGGUUUAGUGAUUAGUUGAUAGAGUGUAGUUUAUGUAUGAUUGAGGUUGACAGUGGAGCAAGUAUUACCACCUUCCUUGAAGGCAUAUCAAUGUUUGAGAAGUACGUUAAGAUGAUCUUUAGAUUGCAACUACAUUAUCACAUUUUCUAUUCUGUAUAAUCAUGUAGAA